rnacentral:lncRNA from 1 species
AAUCGGAGGGCCUGUUGUCCGGACCUCUGGCGGUCUCUAUGGGGAUGCCACAGGGUUCAAUUCUCGGGCCGACUCUUUUCUCUGUAUACAUCAAUGAUGUCCCUCUUGCUGCUGGUGAUUCUCUGAUCCACCUCUACGCAGACGAUAUCAUUCUGUAUACUUCUGGCCCUUCUUUGGACACUGUGUUACCGAACCUCCAGACGAGCUUCAACGCCACACAACUCUCCUUCCGUGGCCUCCAACUGCUCAUAAAUGCAAGUAAAACUAAAUGCAUGCUCUUCAACCGAUCGCUACCAGCACCCACCCGCCCGACUAGCAUCAUUACUCUGGACGGUUCUGACUUAGAAUAUGUGGACAUCUACAAAUACCUAGGUGUCUGGUUAGACUGUAAACUCUUCUUCCAGACUCACAUUAAGCAUCUCCAAUCCAAAAUUAAAUCUAGAAUCGGCUUCCUAUUUCGCAACAAAGCAUCCUUCACUCAUGCUGCCAAACAUACCCUCGUAAAACUGACUAUCCUACAGAUCCUUGACUUCGGCGAUGUCAUUUACAAAAUAGCCUCCAACACUCUACUCAGCAAAUUGGAUGCAGUCUAUCACAGUGCCAUCCGUUUUGUCACCAAAGCCCCAUAUACUACCCACCACUGCGACCUGUAUGCUCUCGUUGGCUGGCCCUCGCUUCAUAUUCGUCGCCAAACCCACUGGCUCCAGGUCAUCUAUAAGUCUUUGCUAGGUAAAGCCCCGCCUUAUCUCAGCUCACUGGUCACCAUAGCAACACCCACCCGUAGCACACGCUCCAGCAGGUAUAUCUCACUGGUCACCCCCAAAGCCAAUUCCUCUUUGGCCGCCUUUCCUUCCAGUUCUCUGCUGCCAAUGACUGGAACGAAUUUCAAAAAUCACUGAAGCUGGACACUCAUAUCUCCCUCACUAACUUUAAGCACUAGCUGUCAGAGCAGCUCACAGAUCACUGCAGCUGUACAUAGCCCAUCUGUAAAUAGCCCAUCCAAGUACCUCAUCCCCAUUCUGUUAUUUUUUAUUUUUUGCUCCUUUGCACCCCAGUAUCUCUACUUGCACAUUCAUCUUCUGCACAUCUAUCACUCCAGUGUUUAAUUGCUAAAUUGUAA